AUGAAAGUAGCUUUGAUGGAAAUGUCUCUAGGAUUGAGGAGAAGAGUUGCUAGUUUAUUACCAUCAUCCAAAAAAGAUCUAGAGAAAAGCCAAUUAAAUUCAAAGAAGACGGGCGCCAAAUCCCGCAAAGGGAAAGAAAACCGAGGAGCAAAAAUCGGGGUGUUACAAAUGCAUGACUUGCACAAUUUCCUAAAUGUUCUGCAUAGAUCUCCUACUUGGAACGCUCCACAUUGUAACUAUGUUGCCUAUGGCCAUGGAUACAACGUGUGCUACACCUUGCAUAUGACACCUAUCCUAAAUGGACCAAAUGUGGGAAGACAAUUCAACUUCCAUAAGGUAACAAGAACUCUCACUUUGCAAUGUGCUAAGAAUCCAUGA
rnacentral:rRNA from 1 species